rnacentral:rRNA from 1 species
AGUGAACGCUGGCGGCGUGCUUAACACAUGCAAGUCGAACGAGAACGGAUUAUAGCUUGCUAUAAUUGUCAGCUAAGUGGCGCACGGGUGAGUAAUGUAUAGGUAAUAUGCCUCUUACUAAGGGAUAACAAAUGGAAACGUUUGCUAAUACCUUAUACUCCUUAUUAACAGAAGUUAAUAAGGGAAAGAUUUAUUGGUAAGAGAUUAGCCUGUAUUGUAUCAGUUAGUUGGUGGGGUAAUGGCUUACCAAGACUAUGACACAUAACUGGUUUGAGAGGAUGAUCAGUCACACUGGAACUGAGACACGGUCCAGACUCCUACGGGAGGCAGCAGUGGGGAAUAUUGCACAAUGGACGAAAGUCUGAUGCAGCAACGCCGCGUGGAGGAUGACACAUUUCGGUGCGUAAACUCCUUUUAUAUGAGAAGAUAAUGACGGUAUUAUAUGAAUAAGCACCGGCUAACUCCGUGCCAGCAGCCGCGGUAAAGU